rnacentral:rRNA from 1 species
GGCAAAUUAUACCAUCCGGUGAAUGGCUCGGCUCAAGCGCUGAUGAAGGACGUGCCAAGCUGCGAUAAG